rnacentral:rRNA from 1 species
UCAAAGAUUAAGCCAUGCAUGUCUAAGUACAGGCCUAAGCAAGGCGAAACCGCGAAUGGCUCAUUAAAUCAGUUAUGGUUCAUUGGAUCUUACCCUUUCUUACUUGGAUAACUGUGGUAAUUCUAGAGCUAAUACAUGCCAACCAGUAGCUCCGACACACUCCCGUGUGGAAGAGCGCUUUUAUUAGAUCAAAACCAGUCCUCCCUCGGGAGGUCAAACCCCUUCGUGGUGACUCUGAAUAACUUUUAGCUGAGCGCACGGUCUCCGCGCCGGCGCCGCAUCUUUCAAGUGUCUGCCUUAUCAGCUUUCGAUUGUAGGUUAUGCGCCUACAAUGGCUAUAACGGGUAACGGGAAUC